GCUGCAUCAACAACAGCUAGAUUGGAUGGAGAUUCUUGGAUUUUGAAUGGAACUAAAGCCUGGAUAACAAAUGGUUAUGAGGCUGAAGCAGCUCUAGUGCUUGCUAUUACUGAUAAAGCUCUGAAGCACAAAGGAAUAAGUUGUUUCAUUGUCCCUAAACCAAUCAAUGGUCU